GUGAAUAUAACUCAGUUGGUAGAGUGACAAUUUGUGGUAUUGUAGGUCGCAGGUUCAAAUCCUGUUAUUUACC
rnacentral:tRNA from 1 species